rnacentral:rRNA from 1 species
UGCCAGCCGCCGCGGUAAUACAGAGGGUGCGAGCGUUAAUCGGAAUUACUGGGCGUAAAGCGCGUGUAGGUGGAUAAGUAAGUUGGAUGUGAAAGCCCCGGGCUUAACCUGGGAUGGUCAUUCAAAACUGCUUGACUAGAGUACAGUAGAGGGAAGUGGAAUUUCAGGUGUAGCGGUGAAAUGCGUAGAUAUCUGAAGGAACACCAGUGGCGAAGGCGGCUACCUGGACUAAUACUGACACUGAGGUGCGAAAGCGUGGGUAGCAAACAGGAUUAGAUA